UGGUGUAGCAGGAGUCUGGAGGAGGAUAUGUCUUCCUAAAACUUUGUUCAUUGACUGCUCAAAUUUUCAAUGCUGGGAUGGCACCAGUUAACUCAUUGUGCUGAAGGACUAAUCUAAGUUGUCUAACUCUAACUAUAUGCCAGUACAUCAGUGAUCAGAGCACCGCUUUAACUGUUCUAACCUGCAGUAACUCUACUUUAUGUUACAAUCAGAUAAUUGAGGCCAUAAAAUAAGGAAAGCAUUACAUGAGUUUCAGUGAACUCAAGUCUUACAGUAGCUUAUUUUGCUGACUAUUCAUGCAUGAACAAGCUCCUGUACAGUUUUACAAAGAGUACAAUUAUCUAAAAUUCCAGGCACAGUAACAUUUAUUCUACAAUGUUGUGGCUUAACUUGACUUGAUGUCGUGCCUGAAUCGACUCUGUGCUCAGUUGUUGUAAUGCUAACUUAACUGUCAGUGUUUUAUUUUGAUCUUUGUUUCCACAGGAGCAGGAACAUUAGAAGCUGCUGGAGUAACUGCUGCUGUUCUCCUGCCUGUCAUAUUCUUCUCUGUCUUCCUGUGGAUUCAAAAAAAGAGGAUGUCCAAGGAACCUGUUAAAUCUGAAGACAGAGCCAACAACAGAGAACAGUGUUUACCUGACCA
rnacentral:lncRNA from 1 species